GUGAAUCAUCGAAUCUUUGAACGCAUAUUGCGCCCCUUGGUAUUCCGGGGGGCACACCUGUUCGAGCGCCAUUUCGACCCUCAAGCAUAGCUUGGUGUUGGGUGAAGUCCUUAAGGGGACCUCCCCGUAACUUCUAGGCGGUCGCUGCCCGCAACCCCCCAGCGUAGCAAGCUAACGCAUUCGCUCGGGGAUGGGGUGUGACCAUUGCCCUUAUAAAAACCUUCUCUCAAAGGUUUGGCCUCGGAUCAGGUGGGGAUACCCGCUGAACUUAAGCAUAUCAAUAAGCGGAGGA
rnacentral:misc_RNA from 1 species